rnacentral:lncRNA from 1 species
GAGAUUCUCUUCUCUUUCCCUCCCUUCCAGAACUACUUGGAGUUUCCUACGUGGCGACGACACUUCCCAAAUGCUGACGCUCUGCCCCUCUUCGAAGGCCUGCUUUUAUUUUUCCUGUCCAGGUCAUCUGUGCAAGUCAUUAAAGUUAAAGGUUCCGACUGUGCUAUUCUAGAAAAGACAAGAACAACAGACUCCUUAAGGUUCUUUUCCUACCUGAGGCACCGUAGGACCCCUGGUUCAGCCUCAUAAGGAGCCAUAUACUGGAUCUCUCCAGUGUGUGGCCAGAAGCUGCUGCCCAGAGACCAGCUACGACUCUGCCCCAAACCCACCUUUGUGAAGGGCCGGGACGGGCUGUAUAAGCUGGGAGCAACUGGUAUUUCAGCCUCUGAGGUUACAGCACUCUUAAUGGAAUUCGUUCAGGAGGAGACCCAGCUGAAUCCUGGGCGGGAUUAAUUGCUUAACAGGUGGGUUCUUAAAUAGACUUUGUUGUGUGCCAUUAGAGCGGCUUCAAAUGAUAGGAUUCACAUUGAGCAAAAGCCACAGAAAUUCCAUCAGAUAGCCUGGUGCCUGGGUGGCAGGAAGGUUUGUUUUGUGGUGCGAUUGCCCAAAUUUGCCCGAUCAUAAUCCCUUGGGGAACUGACUUAAACUGCAGAGCCCUGGACCCCACCCCAGACCUGCAAAGUCAGAAUCUGCAGGGGAGGGACCUACAGUUUUAAUAAGCCUCUCCAAGGGAUUCCCAUCAUCACUCAAGUUUGGAAAACACUGUUUUGGGGAGUUCAUUGCCUGAAAUUCCAUUUCAUGUCUUCAAAAAUUAGAGGAGAAACAGAGCUGAAUGAGGAUGGUGAUGGUUAAUUUUUAUGUGUCAACUUGUCUGGGUCACAGUGCCCAGAUAUGUAGCCCCACAUUAUUCUGGAUGUUUCUGUGAGAGUGUUUUUGGAUGAAGUUAACAUCUAAAUUAGUGGACUUAGUAACGCAGAUUGCCCUGAACAAGGUGGGUGAGCCUCAUCCAAUCAGUUGAAGUCCUGAAUAGAACAAAAAGGUUGACCUCCCCUGGGCAACAAGGAAUUCUGCAGCAGAUGGCCUUUGGACUUGAACUACAUCAUUGGCUUUUCUUUGAGGGGAGUGGACAGAAUAUUUGAGAAGAGAAGAAAUGAAGAGAGUUGUUGUAUCCUUCUGAAGGGAUGAGGAGAGUUGAAAGGCAAUUGCUGCUUUAUGAGUAAACAAAAGUUCUGUGACAACCUUGCUGUGA